UACGAAGGGGGCUAGCGUUGUUCGGAAUUACUGGGCGUAAAGCGCGCGCAGGCGGUUCUCCAAGUCAGUGGUGAAAGCCCGGAGCUCAACUCCGGAACUGCCAUUGAAACUGUUGAACUUGAGGACGAGAGAGGUGAGUGGAAUUCCCAGUGUAGAGGUGAAAUUCGUAGAUAUGGGGAAGAACACCAGUGGCGAAGGCGGCUCACUGGCUCGUAUCUGACGCUCAGGCGCGAUAGCGUGGGGAUCAAACAGG
rnacentral:rRNA from 1 species